rnacentral:rRNA from 1 species
CAGUCGUACCGGCGGAUAAUCAGCCUUUCGGGUGCGAUUCUGUGGGGCGUGAAGAGUUUAACCGCCCUCAUGUUUUGCAUAUUCGUGCACAUUUGGUGUACUUGUCCGUGUGGUGGGUUAACAUCAAUUUCGGGCACCAUAAAAUGGCUGGAGGAAUGUAGCUUCGAUCUUGUAUUGAAGUGUUAUAGCCUU